rnacentral:rRNA from 1 species
AUUGAACGCUGGCGGAAUGCUUUACACAUGCAAGUCGAGCGGCAGCACGGGGGCAACCCUGGUGGCGAGCGGCGAACGGGUGAGUAAUACAUCGGAACAUGCCCAGUCGUGGGGGAUAACACUUCGAAAGAAGUGCUAAUACCGCAUACGUCCUGAGGGAGAAAGCGGGGGAUCUUCGGACCUCGCGCGAUUGGAGUGGCCGAUGUCAGAUUAGCUAGUUGGUGGGGUAAAGGCCUACCAAGGCAACGAUCUGUAGCUGGUCUGAGAGGAUGAUCCGCCACACUGGGACUGGGACACGGCCCAGACUCCUACGGGAGGCAGCAGUGGGGAAUUUUGGACAAUGGGGGCAACCCUGAUCCAGCCAUUCCGCGUGAGUGAAGAAGGCCUUCGGGUUGUAAAGCUCUUUCGGCAGGAACGAAACGGCGAGCUCUAACAUAGCUUGCUAAUGACGGUACCUGAAGAAGAAGCACCGGCUAACUACGUGCCAGCCGCCGCGGUAAGAC